rnacentral:misc_RNA from 1 species
GUGGUUCACCAUUGGAAGGCCUGACAUAUUGGUUAUUUGCAUUGACAAUGUUAUAAGCUUCAGCACGAGAAACUUCGUCUUGUGGAAAAUGAACAUUCAUUUCAUCACCAUCAAAAUCAGNNNNNNNNNAAUUUGCAUAGUGCAUACGAAGUGUUUUCUCCCCCUUCAACACACGAACAACAUGUGCCAUUAUACUGGGCUUAUGAAGUGUAGGCUGUCGAUUGACAAGAACAAC